GAGAACCUAGUUGAGAAUCUGCUAGAAAUGAUAACACCAGUGAAAGUGACUUUUCUCUUACGGAUAGGAACCUGACCGUUGGCAGAGACUGCCAGGAACGAUAGCUGCCUCAGAGACAACACAGCUCGUCAAAGAUGUAUUUUGUAAAACGUUAAGUUGCAGAUACAGUCGCGUUGCAGCAGGCGCACUCUCUGGGCUCUCCCCUGCAGCCCCAAGCAAACGCAGCUUUGGGCCUGUCGGCGAGGGCAGGGAUCUGGAGCCCUGUCUGAGUGUGCGAAGUGGGUGAUACGCGUGGAGAACCCAGCCACUUUCAGGCUGUCGUUUUGAGCCUACUCUGUGCCAAGUGUCAGGAAUGACUUUUUGUCCUCAAAGCUGAAGAGACAUUUCCUACCAGUGCAGAUGAAGGUGUCUUUUUCCUCCAAGUACAUAGAGGAGGAGAGGGCAGAAACUGAGCUAAGUUCUCGUCUCACAC